rnacentral:misc_RNA from 1 species
AACCAUUCUCACCUGCGGCUAGACCUGCGGAGGGAUCAUUAUCGAGUGUAACUGACCCCCUAAAAAGGGUAGUACCUCCCGUCCUUUGCAGGCCCCCUUUUUAUGGGGGGCUUUUUUUAAGACUUUCUGCUUCGGCGGGGUUACUCCCGCCGGAACACCCUCAAAAAACUCUCAAAAAAACCGUUCAGUCCGAGAACUUUUUAAAAAUAUAAAAAAAAACUUUUAGCAAUGGAUCUCAGA